AAAACGACUCUCGGCAACGGAUAUCUCGGCUCUCGCAUCGAUGAAGAACGUAGCAAACUGCGAUACUUGGUGUGAAUUGCAGAAUCCCGUGAACCAUCGAGUCUUUGAACGCAAGUUGCGCCCGAAGCCAUUAGGCCGAGGGCACGUCUGCUUGGGCGUCACGC
rnacentral:rRNA from 1 species